rnacentral:rRNA from 1 species
UACGAAGGGGGGCUAGCGUUGCUCGGAAUCACUGGGCGUAAAGGGCGCGUAGGCGGCCAUUCAAGUCGGAGGUGAAAGCCCAGGGCUCAACCCUGGAAUUGCCCUCGAUACUGUUUGGCUAGAGACCGGAAGAGGUAGGUGGAACUGCGAGUGUAGAGGUGAAAUUCGUAGAUAUUCGCAAGAACACCAGUGGCGAAGGCGGCUUACUGGUCCGGUUCUGACGCUGAGGCGCGAAAGCGUGGGGAGCAAACAGG